rnacentral:rRNA from 2 species
AGUCGAACGGUAAGGCCCCUUCGGGGGUACACGAGUGGCGAACGGGUGAGUAACACGUGGGUAAUCUGCCCUGCACUUCGGGAUAAGCCUGGGAAACCGGGUCUAAUACCGGAUAUGAACUCCUGCCGCAUGGUGGGGGUUGGAAAGUUUUUCGGUGCAGGAUGAGCCCGCGGCCUAUCAGCUUGUUGGUGGGGUAAUGGCCUACCAAGGCGACGACGGGUAGCCGGCCUGAGAGGGUGAUCGGCCACACUGGGACUGAGACACGGCCCAGACUCCUACGGGAGGCAGCAGUGGGGAAUAUUGCACAAUGGGCGAAAGCCUGAUGCAGCGACGCCGCGUGGGGGAUGACGGUCUUCGGAUUGUAAACCCCUUUCAGUAGGGACGAAGCGCAAGUGACGGUACCUGCAGAAGAAGCACCGGCUAACUACGUGCCAGCAGCCGCGGUAAUACGUAGGGUGCGAGCGUUGUCCGGAAUUACUGGGCGUAAAGAGCUCGUAGGCGGUUUGUCACGUCGUCUGUGAAAUCCCUCGGCUUAACCGGGGGCGUGCAGGCGAUACGGGCAGACUUGAGUACUACAGGGGAGACUGGAAUUCCUGGUGUAGCGGUGAAAUGCGCAGAUAUCAGGAGGAACACCGGUGGCGAAGGCGGGUCUCUGGGUAGUAACUGACGCUGAGGAGCGAAAGCAUGGGUAGCGAACAGGAUUAGAUACCCUG